AGGUCAACGAGAACAGUGGUCUCCUAAAGGAGUUGGGGACAGGGCUGAAUGUGUAAAGGUCAACAGAACAGUGGUCUCCUGAUGGAGUUGGGGACAGGGCAUGAACUCAUUGUAAAGGUCAACAGAACAGUGGUCUCCUGAUGGAGUUGGGGACAGGGCAUGAACUCAUUGUAAAGGUCAACGAGAACAGUGGUCUCCUAAUGGAGUUGGGGACAGGGCUGAAUGUGUAAAGGUCAACAGAACAGUGGUCUCCUGAUGGAGUUGGGGACAGGGCAUGAACUCAUUGUAAAGGUCAACGAGAACAGUGGUCUCCUAAUGGAGUUGGGGACAGGGCUGAAUGUGUAAAGGUCAACAGAACAGUGGUCUCCUGAUGGAGUUGGGGACAGGGCAUGAACUCAUUGUAAAGGUCAACAUAACAGUGGUCUCCUGAUGGAGUUGGGGACAGGGCUGAAUGUGUAAAGGUCAACAGAACAGUGGUCUCCUGAUGGAGUUGGGGACAGGGCUGAAUGUGUAAAGGUCAACAGAACAGUGGUCUCCUGAUGGAGUUGGGGACAGGGCAUGAACUCAUUGUAAAGGUCAACAGAACAGUGGUCUCCUGAAUGAGUUGGGGACAGGGCUGAAUGUAUAAAGGUCAACAGAACAGUGGUCUCCUGAUGGAGUUGGGGACAGGGCUGAAUGUGUAAA
ensembl:lncRNA